rnacentral:ncRNA from 1 species
CCGUUCCGCCGCAAGCUCGGUCAGUUCUUACCCGGAGGUACGGACCCGGUGCCGUCCCCGGGCCUGGCCAGCUGUUAGCAGGCGGUGUCCUCGGACUGGCCAAGCCUCGAAUUACCGGUCGGCGACGCUAUUGCUUUGGGUACUCUCAGGACCCGUUUUGAAACACGGACCAAGGAGUCUAACAUGUGCGCGAGUCAUUGGGAUAUAUAAACCUAAAGGCGAAAUGAAAGUGAAAGUCGGCCUCCGUGCCG